UCCGAAAGUAGUGGCGAGCGAAAUCGGACAAGCCUUUGAGUUUUAGCAGCUUUGUUAACAGAACGGUCUGGAAAGGCCGGCCAUAGUGGGUGAUAGCCCCGUAUGUAAAAACAUCGUUGUGGAACUAGAGAGGAUAGAUGAAAUACUUGGAAAAGUGUAGCAUAGAAGGUGAAACUCCUGUAAUUUAAAUUCUCAAUAGCUCUAUUGGUAUCCUGAGUAGGUCGGAACACGUGAUAUUUUGACUGAAACUGGGGGGACCACCCUCCAAUCCUAAAUACUACUUACAGAUCGAUAGUGAACAAGUACCGUGAGGGAAAGGUGAAAAGUACUCCAGCGAGGAGAGUGAAAUAGAACCUGAAACCAUUAGCUUACAAUCAUUCAGAGCCCUAUGAUUUAUCAGGGUGAUGGACUGCCUUUUGCAUAAUGAGCCUGCGAGUUGUGGUGUCUGGCAAGGUUAAGUCAAGUACGAAGCCGUAGCGAAAGCGAGUCUUAAUAGGGCGAUUUAGUCAGAUGCUGCAGACCCGAAACGAAGUGAUCUAUCCAUGAGCAGGUUGAAGCUGGUGUAAGAGCCAGUGGAGGACCGAACCCGCAGGCGUUGAAAAGUCUUGGGAUGACUUGUGGAUAGGGGUGAAAGGCCAAUCAAACUUCGUGAUAGCUGGUUCUCUCCGAAAUAUAUUUAGGUAUAGCCUUGUGUUGUAGCAUAUGGGGGUAGAGCACUGAAUGGGCUAGGGCUGCUUACCGCGGUACCAAACCCUAUCAAACUAUGAAUACUAUAUGUGGAAUCACAGGAGUCAGGCGGUGGGUGAUAAAAUCAAUCGUCGAGAGGGGAACAACCCAGACUAACAGCUAAGGUCCCUAAGUUACAUCUAAGUGGAAAACGAUGUGGAGUUACUGUGACAACCAGGAGGUUGGCUUAGAAGCAGCCAUCCUUUAAAGAAAGCGUAACAGCUCACUGGUCUAGUGAUUCUGCGCGGAAAAUAUAACGGGGCUAAGAUGUACACCGAAGCUUUAGAUUCAAUUUUUAAUUGAGUGGUAGGAGAGCGUUCUAUUCAGCGUAGAAGAUGUACCGGUAAGGAGCGUUGGAGCGGAUAGAAGUGAGCAUGCAGGCAUGAGUAGCGAUAAUUGAGGUGAGAAUCCUCAACGCCGAAAACCCAAGGUUUCCUACGCGAUGCUCGUCAUCGUAGGGUUAGUCGGGUCCUAAGUCGAGUCCGAAAGGGGUAGACGAUGGCAAAUUGGUUAAUAUUCCAAUACCAACAUAUAAGCGCGAUGUGGGGACGCAUAGAGUUAGUCGAGCUCACUGAUGGAAUAGUGGGUCGAAGGACGUAGGCUGUUACUUAGGCAAAUCCGGGUAACGUUAGGCCGAGAUCUUACAGGCUCUUGACACUCUUCGGAGGAGAUGGAGAAUCGAUGAUACUGUCGUGCCAAGAAAAGCCACUAAGUAUAUUGUAUGUUGCCCGUACCGUAAACCGACACAGGUGGGUGGGAUGAGUAUUCUAAGGCGCGUGGAAGAACCCUGGUUAAGGAACUCUGCAAACUAGCACCGUAUCUUCGGUAUAAGGUGUGCCUACUUCUGUAUAUGGACUUGCUCCAAAAAGCGGAAGAGGUUGCAACAAAGAGUCCCUCCCGACUGUUUACCAAAAACACAGCACUUUGCUAACACGUAAGUGGAUGUAUAAGGUGUGACGCCUGCCCGGUGCUCGAAGGUUAAUUGAUGGUGUCAGAGCAAUCGAAGCACUUGAUCGAAGCCCGAGUAAACGGCGGCCGUAACUAUAACGGUCCUAAGGUAGCGAAAUUCCUUGUCGGGUAAGUUCCGACCUGCACGAAUGGCGUAACGAUGGCCACACUGUCUCCUCCCGAGACUCAGCGAAGUAUCGUGACUGGGAAAC
rnacentral:rRNA from 1 species